GCGCGGCCGGGGUGUGGCACCCCGGGCGCUGGCGGCGCUCACCGACUGGGCGUUCGCGGCCUUCGCCGAGCA
rnacentral:tRNA from 1 species